rnacentral:rRNA from 2 species
GUGGGGAAUAUUGGACAAUGGGCGCAAGCCUGAUCCAGCCAUGCCGCGUGAGUGAUGAAGGCCCUAGGGUUGUAAAGCUCUUUUGUGCGGGAAGAUAAUGACGGUACCGCAAGAAUAAGCCCCGGCUAACUUCGUGCCAGCAGCCGCGGUAAUACGAAGGGGGCUAGCGUUGCUCGGAAUCACUGGGCGUAAAGGGUGCGUAGGCGGGUCUUUAAGUCAGGGGUGAAAUCCUGGAGCUCAACUCCAGAACUGCCUUUGAUACUGAAGAUCUUGAGUUCGGGAGAGGUGAGUGGAACUGCGAGUGUAGAGGUGAAAUUCGUAGAUAUUCGCAAGAACACCAGUGGCGAAGGCGGCUCACUGGCCCGAUACUGACGCUGAGGCACGAAAGCGUGGGGAGCAAACAGG